GAUGAACGCUGGCGGCGUGCCUAAUACAUGCAAGUUGAGCGAACAGAUAAGGAGCUUGCUCCUUUGACGUUAGCGGCGGACGGGUGAGUAACACGUGGGUAACCUACCUAUAAGACUGGGAUAACUUCGGGAAACCGGAGCUAAUACCGGAUAACAUUUGGAACCGCAUGGUUCUAAAGUGAAAGAUGGUUUUGCUAUCACUUAUAGAUGGACCCGCGCCGUAUUAGCUAGUUGGUAAGGUAACGGCUUACCAAGGCGACGAUACGUAGCCGACCUGAGAGGGUGAUCGGCCACACUGGAACUGAGACACGGUCCAGACUCCUACGGGAGGCAGCAGUAGGGAAUCUUCCGCAAUGGGCGCAAACCUGACGGAACAGCGCCGCGUGAGUGAUGAAGGGGUUCGGUUAGUAAAACUCUGUUAUUAGGGAUAAACAUAUGUGAAAAUAACUGUGCACAUACUGACGGUACCUCAUCAGAAAGCUACGGCUAACUACGUG
rnacentral:rRNA from 1 species